UUCAGAAAAUCAUACUUUCCCUUAAUUUCUCAAGUUUCUGUUCUGAGCAAGCUGGACAGUGCUGUUUGCUCAUAUUAGGCUACUUAUUAGCUUUGAAAGAAACAACCACUGUUACGUCGCCUGUUUAGACAAAUGUAAGCCAUUACGCUUUAUUUGACUGUUGUAUCGGCUUAAAAUAAAAGCGCUCGAUAACAGUGCAAGUCUUAGUUUGAGCGCUGCAGUUGUCAUGGGUAUUUGGUAGCUUGAGGUCAUCAAUCACUGAUUGUGCACAAUCUUCCUCGACAGCAGUUCCGAGUCUUCCGAGGGGAGAAGCCAGAUGCGCUGCGUCUAACUUCAGCUCAUAAGGGACAAAAACCGCAGUUCAUCCCACGCUAUAAUGUUGAGAGAAGCAUUUAGAAUCCAUAUUUUAUAUUAUUCUUACUUUCUCUGAUUCUCUAACAAAGCACACAAUAUAGCCUAAUGCAAGCCAGAAAAAAAAAAAAUAAAUCAAAUAGCUUAUUAGGCUAUUAAUUUACAUUAUCUAAUAGGUAGGAAAAAAUGGCAUUAACUCCUGUGUGGAGAGUAAUUCAUGCGUUUCAGCUGAAUAAUGUGCCAUAUACUGUUAAUGGCCUGUGAAUUUGACAUUGAGGCCCCUGACAAUCCUGCAAAAGAAUCUCAGUUCGUGAGAAAAGCAAACAAUUUCUUGGGCUUUCAUGGGUUUGGUAUAUAAAUUCAUAAAAUAAAUCAGAUCCAGUUAUUAUUAUGCGGUGAAGCGCUCUGAGAAACAAAGAUGAGUGCUACUAGAGCCCCCAGGCCAGAAGACACAUGGGUCGCUCUCGAUUGGUCAGAGCAAGGCGAGGCCCCUCCCCUCGUUGUUGCAAUAUUUACAAGUUGAGCCAAAAAGUACAGUAAGUAAUGAAGACAAGCAACGCGAGCUACCAUUCACCGUUUAAAGUGGCGAUUUAAGAGACAUAAUGACCUCGUUCUUCAACUGUUAACCAGGUAGGAACUUUAUGACUUUCACGGCCAAGUGCAGACAGGAUCAGAGGAAGACUGCGCCCUCGUCUUACCCCGGAGGCACCCGAGAGAGACUGACGAGAACCAUUCUGGAUCAUCAUGUCAACACCCGAUUAACCCCGAACAUGCUUCAAGGUUCUUUUGGAGUGCAUUAUGAUAGAAACGCUAGCAGCGUGCAAACUGACCAACACUGCAGCUAGCAUUGCUUUCAUCAAACAACUCAUUGAACUGGAGAAGGAGUUUCACUUCAACAAGUACCUCAGCAAAUUAAGAAGGACCGAGCAAGUACCUGAGCAAAUCAAGAAGAACCGAAAUAGAUCGCGCUGUGCACCUUAGCGGGACUCAGGUGAAGAUCUGGUCCAGAACAAGCGGAUGAAGCAGAAGAAGAGAGAGAAGGAAGGCCUGGCACCGAGUUCCGCCAGCUCCCCAUCUGCUCUGUCACCACACUGCUCUCGCUGUCAAGAUAAAAGUGCCUGGAACUAAAUCAGUCCAGCAGUUCAUCCAAACCUUACUCAUGGUGUAGAUUGUACAACGCCUAAUGCACUUAUUGAUUUGCACUAAUCAAUCUCCUAAAUAUUAAGCUAUUUAAUAAUGAAACUAUGCUUUUAAACUUUUGAUUAAAUUAUUAAGAUAAUCCUUGCAGACUUAAUUUGUGGUGGUGAUUUAAUUUUGAAUUGAUGAACAUUUACACAGUACGUAGAGAGUUUAUGAAGUGCAUUUUUUAAUCACAACAAUACUCUAAGUGCUUAUUAGAUAGAAUCUGGAGAAUCUCCAUAUUGAUCUGUACCUAUGUGAUUAGAUUAUUUUGACCUCAAGUUUGGUGUUACUCUUUUUUUUCAUUAUUAUAAAAGUUAAUCACUGUACACCUACAUUUUAUAUUGAACCCAUGAACUAAUAAUAAAAAAAUUGUAUUUCUAUACCCA
ensembl:lncRNA